GAUGAACGCUGGCGGCGUGCCUAAUACAUGCAAGUCGAGCGAACAGACGAGGAGCUUACUCCUCUGACGUUAGCGGCGGACGGGUGAGUAACACGUGGAUAACCUACCUAUAAGACUGGGAUAACUUCGGGAAACCGGAGCUAAUACCGGAUAACAUGUUGAACCGCAUGGUUCAACAGUGAAAGACGGUCUUGCUGUCACUUAUAGAUGGAUCCGCGUCGCAUUAGCUAGUUGGUAAGGUAACGGCUUACCAAGGCAACGAUGCGUAGCCGACCUGAGAGGGUGAUCGGCUACACUGGAACUGAGACACGGUCCAGACUCCUACGGGAGGCAGCAGUAGGGAAUCUUCCGCAAUGGGCGAAAGCCUGACGGAGCAACGCCGCGUGAGUGAAGAAGGUCUUCGGAUCGUAAAACUCUGUUAUUAGGGAAGAACAAAUGUGUAAGUAACUAUGCACGUCUUGACGGUACCUAAUCAGAAAGCCACGGCUAACUACGUG
rnacentral:rRNA from 1 species